rnacentral:rRNA from 1 species
GGGUUGUGAGGUUAAGCGACUAAGCGUACACGGUGGAUGCCCUGGCAGUCAGAGGCGAUGAAGGACGUGCUAAUCUGCGAUAAGCGUCGGUGAGGUGAUAUGAACCGUUAUAACCGGCGAUUUCCGAAUGGGGAAACCCAGUGUGUUUCGACACACUAUCAUUAACUGAAUCCAUAGGUUAAUGAGGCGAACCGGGGGAACUGAAACAUCUAAGUACCCCGAGGAAAAGAAAUCAACCGAGAUUCCCCCAGUAGCGGCGAGCGAACGGGGAGGAGCCCAGAGCCUGMAUCAGUGUGYGUGUUAGUGGAAGCGUCUGGAAAGGCGCGCGAUACAGGGUGACAGCCACGUAMACAAAAAUGCACAUAUUGUGAGCYCGAUGAGUAGGGYGGGACGCGUGGCAUCAUGUCGGAAUAUGGGGGGACCAUGCUCAAAGGCUA